GCGGUUUCCGGCUCUUAGCGUGCGGAGAGCGCGUGGCUGGAGGAGCAUCAUGGCGGCUGAGGGAGUCGAGGAGCGACGGUGGAGACAAGGCAGAGGGAGGCCCCAGUGCUUUGGAGAACAGCUUGACUCCCUCUUCUUUGGGGCAGCCCCUGAGAUAUCGGAACACUGCUCUGAUGUCACCCUUGGUAUGCGAUGACCCGUAACUGGGCACGGAAACAACACAGCCGAAACGAAGACUGAACUCCCCUUUAUUGCUCCAACUUUCCUCCAAAAAUCCCACCGUUCACUGCAGAUCCCGGAGCAAAAGCUCUGAAGAUGCAUUUCUUAAUAGUUCCUGCCUGUUAUUAGUCCAGAGGAGCAGUUCAGUUCUGAGAGCAGCCACAGUUCAGGGAAGUUGUUUCCAAGGCGUCCUCGCCACAGAAAGAAUUCACCGGUACUGCACCCACCAUCCGGAGUAUAACUGUGUCACUGUGACCUCGCAUGGAGCCACGCCAGCAUGGCAAACAAGGCGAAGAAGACAAUGCCAGCAAAGUAUCCAGAUGUCGGUAACAGCACGUGAGGCUGCAAAAAGCCACGCUUCGUUCCCGACAAACGCCCCUCCCAACAGUGUCUCUUUAAAGCUCAUUCCCCAGGAAUCCCAAAACACACACCCAUUUGCAUUCUGGCUCAGGUACCCUGAGGGUACAGAUAAAUUCCCAAAUUAGUUCCCUCAUUGGAGCCUGAGUCCGAGGAUGGGACGGAGCUAGGGCCAAUGGAAGAAGGACCGGAGGAGCAGGACAAGGCACUCCUUGGUCUCUCGGGCCUAGAAGAUUUCAGAUUAAGAUGGCGGAUGUCCUGCCCGUUACAUGACUGCAUGGCUCCCCUUUAAUCUUUGCAGAGAUCUUCUCUCAUCCAGAAUGUCGUCGGGAAUAAGUUAUUAAAUCAGAAUUUCAGCCUUGGGAAGACUGGGCAAAACGUCUCGGAAUGCAACAUCCACGCGUUUUUAUUUUGAAAAGACUCACGAAGAAAAGAACGAGACCUGCCAAUAUGAAUUGGAUAAAAUUUUACAAGGAUCACAGGACAAAUUGAUAAAAAAAAAUUAUAAUUAUUUACGAGGAUAUAAAUUAGAGGAAGAGGUGGUUAAAGAAAACAUCUGGGCAAAGAAUUUUGGCUAUAAUAUUGAAUUAGACAAAUGGGAAAAAUUAUGGAUAAUAAAUUAUAAAUUAACAAUGUCUGUACCCUAUAAAGAAAGUCUGUACAAAAUAUUUUAUAGGUGGCAUCUUCCACCGGCCAGAUUGGCAAGAAUGUUCCCCAAUACUUCCCCAACAUGCUGGAAAUGUAAACUUCACAAAGGAACCUAUUAUCACAUGUGGUGGACCUGCCCAAAGGCAAAACAAUACUGGCAAAUGAUUAGAAGACAAAUAGAAGAAAUUGCAAAACAAAGAAUAGAAAUGAGGCCAGAAACCUUUCUACUAGGCAUAAUAAAUGGACAAUACGAAAAGGAAAUAAAAUAUUCAAUCAUUCAUAUAAUAACAGCAGCACGAAUAAUUUUUGCACAAAAUUGGAAGAGUAACGACAUACCAACAGAAGAUAGAGUAAUUAGUAAAAUCAUGGAAUGUGCAGAAAUGGACAGACUCACAAAGGAAUUACAAGAUAAAGAGGAACAUGACUACUAUUUAGUACGGGAAAAGUGGUACACUUGGGUGGAAGGCAGAAAAGGAAGAAAAAAAGGCUAGGAACUAAUUGGUGUGACCUGAUAUAGAAAUAGGAACAUAAACCAUUAAUGCAAGUUAACUGAAUUACAAAGAGAGAUAUAAGAGAAAGACCAAAACGAGGAUUCGAAAGCACAAAUAAGAACAUAGAUUACAGUUGCAACAACUUUGAUAAGAUGUAUAUUUGAAUUUUUGUUUACAUGUUCUGUAUGUUUUGUUGUUACUUGUUUUAUUCUGUUUGUAUUUUUUAAUACAAACAACAAAUGUCGGCUGGCGACCCCCAGGAGGAGAGCCUUCUCUAUGGUGGCACCUACCCUUUGGAACAAUCUACCCCUAGAGAUACGAGUGAUCUCCGACCUCCGGACUUUUUGUCGGGCCCUAAAAACUUAUUUUUUUUCAGUUAGCCGGUCUGUCCUGAUUUUAUGGUUGGUUUUAAAAUUUGAUAAGGAUUUUUAAAUUGAUAAGUUUUAAAUUACAGGCCAAAUUUAUUUAAUUAUUUUAAAUCUAUUUUUAACUUUAUGUAUAAAUGUUUUUUAUCUUGGCUGUUCACCGCCCUGAGUCCGAAAGGAGAAGGGCGGUAUAGAAGUUUGAAUGAAUGAAUGAAUGAAUGAAUGAAUGAAUGAAUAAAUAUUCAAUUAAAAAAAGAGAAAAGAACCAGACCUAUUUUGUUCAGGAAAAGGCCCAAAUAGAGACCCAUCAUGGAUUGUUGCAGUGAGCCUGUUGGGGAAAGACAGUGGAUCAUUUUGAUUUAUUUGUAAUAAAGCUGGAAGGACACACUGAACAGCUUCCUCUCUUGAUUGGAAACAAAAAUAUUGUAUUUUGAAACACAUUUCCUCCCUCUAGUCCAGUGAUGGCUAACCUUUUUGCCGUCACAUGCCAAAAGCGGGGGGAGUGCGGGGGGGUCGUGCGCAUGCCCACACCUAUAAAUUCAAUGCCCCUCUGUGCAUAUGUGAGUGACCGCCCCCUGCCUCACCCCCGCUUUUGGCACACCGGCAAAAAGUUUACCAGAAGGCCCGUUUUUCACCCUCCCCAGGCUCCAGAGCCUUUCUUGGAAUCUGGGGAGGGCAAAAACAGCCUUCCCCACCCUCCCAGAAGCCAGAAACGGCCCGUUUCCCGACUUCCGGUGGGCCAGAAGGCCCGAAAAUUGGCUGGCGUGCUGGAGCUGAGCUAGGGCAACAUUCGUGUGCCCACAGAUAAGGCUCCGCGUGUCAUCACGGCUCUGGUCCUUCACCAUUUCCGUACAGCUUGCAAUAUUUCACUUCUUUUUUCCCCAAUGCCUGGAUCUUAGAUGAAUUAACAGAUCCACACUCUUCAUUUCAUUAUACAAGUUUAUCUUAAUACUGGCUUCAAGUCUUGAGUAAUGGGAAAACGACACACAAUUGUUUGCACACGCCCGUGGCAAAAAUCUGGUUUCCACACACCUUUUGCUCACCCGGUCUGCAUUUCUGUAAUAAAUAAAUGUUUCCACUCACA